rnacentral:rRNA from 2 species
AAACUUUCAACAACGGAUCUCUUGGCUCUGGCAUCGAUGAAGAACGCAGCGAAAUGCGAUAAGUAAUGUGAAUUGCAGAAUUUAGUGAAUCAUCGAAUCUUUGAACGCACAUUGCGCCCCUUGGUAUUCCGAGGGGCAUGCCUGUUCGAGC